rnacentral:rRNA from 1 species
GUGGGGAAUAUUGGACAAUGGGCGAAAGCCUGAUCCAGCCAUGCCGCGUGUGUGAAGAAGGUCUUCGGAUUGUAAAGCACUUUAAGUUGGGAGGAAGGGCAGUAAGUUAAUACCUUGCUGUUUUGACGUUACCGACAGAAUAAGCACCGGCUAACUUCGUGCCAGCAGCCGCGGUACUACGAAGGGUGCAAGCGUUAAUCGGAAUUACUGGGCGUAAAGCGCGCGUAGGUGGUUUUGUAAGUUGGAGGUGAAAUCCCCGGGCUCAACCUGGGAACUGCCUCCAAAACUGCAUGACUAGAGUACGGUAGAGGGUAGUGGAAUUUCCUGUGUAGCGGUGAAAUGCGUAGAUAUAGGAAGGAACACCAGUGGCGAAGGCGACUACCUGGACUGAUACUGACACUGAGGUGCGAAAGCGUGGGGAGCAAACAGGAUUAGAAACCCUGGUAGUCC